rnacentral:rRNA from 1 species
GUGGGGAAUCUUGCGCAAUGGGCGAAAGCCUGACGCAGCCAUGCCGCGUGAAUGAUGAAGGUCUUAGGAUUGUAAAAUUCUUUCACCGGGGACGAUAAUGACGGUACCCGGAGAAGAAGCCCCGGCUAACUACGUGCCAGCAGCCGCGGUAAUACGUAGGUGGCAAGCGUUGUCCGGAUUUACUGGGUGUAAAGGGCGCGUAGGCGGACUGGCAAGUCAGAUGUGAAAUCCAUGAGCUCAACUCAUGAACUGCAUUUGAAACUGUUGGUCUUGAGUAUCGGAGAGGCAAGCGGAAUUCCUAGUGUAGCGGUGAAAUGCGUAGAUAUUAGGAGGAACACCAGUGGCGAAGGCGGCUUGCUGGACGACAACUGACGCUGAGGCGCGAAAGCGUGGGGAGCAAACAGGAUUAGAAACCCCGGUAGUCC